CGGGGCGUAGCGCAGCCUGGUAGCUCGCAUGCAUGGGGUGCAUGAGGCCGCGAGUUCGAAUCUCGCCGUCCCGACCA
rnacentral:tRNA from 1 species